rnacentral:rRNA from 1 species
UACAGGCUUAACACAUGCAAGUCGAGGGGCAGCAUGGUCUUAGCUUGCUAAGGCCGAUGGCGACCGGCGCACGGGUGAGUAACACGUAUCCAACCUGCCGUCUACUCUUGGACAGCCUUCUGAAAGGAAGAUUAAUACAAGAUGGCAUCAUGAGUCCGCAUGUUCACAUGAUUAAAGGUAUUCCGGUAGACGAUGGGGAUGCGUUCCAUUAGAUAGUAGGCGGGGUAACGGCCCACCUAGUCUUCGAUGGAUAGGGGUUCUGAGAGGAAGGUCCCCCACAUUGGAACUGAGACACGGUCCAAACUCCUACGGGAGGCAGCAGCGAGGAAUAUUGGUCAAUGGGCGAGAGCCUGAACCAGCCAAGUAGCGUGAAGGAUGACUGCCCUAUGGGUUGUAAACUUCUUUUAUAAAGGAAUAAAGUCGGGUAUGGAUACCCGUUUGCAUGUACUUUAUGAAUAAGGAUCGGCUAACUCCGUGCCAGCAGCCGCGGUAAUACGGAGGAUCCGAGCGUUAUCCGGAUUUAUUGGGUUUAAAGGGAGCGUAGAUGGAUGUUUAAGUCAGUUGUGAAAGUUUGCGGCUCAACCGUAAAAUUGCAGUUGAUACUGGAUAUCUUGAGUGCAGUUGAGGCAGGCGGAAUUCGUGGUGUAGCGGUGAAAUGCUUAGAUAUCACGAAGAACUCCGAUUGCGAAGGCAGCCUGCUAAGCUGCAACUGACAUUGAGGCUCGAAAGUGUGGGUAUCAAACAGGAUUAGAUACCCUGGUAGUCCACACGGUAAACGAUGAAUACUCGCUGUUUGCGAUAUACUGCAAGCGGCCAAGCGAAAGCGUUAAGUAUUCCACCUGGGGAGUACGCCGGCAACGGUGAAACUCAAAGGAAUUGACGGGGGCCCGCACAAGCGGAGGAACAUGUGGUUUAAUUCGAUGAUACGCGAGGAACCUUACCCGGGCUUAAAUUGCAGAUGAAUUACGGUGAAAGCCGUAAGCCGCAAGGCAUCUGUGAAGGUGCUGCACGGUUGUCGUCAGCUCGUGCCGUGAGGUGUCGGCUUAAGUGCCAUAACGAGCGCAACCCUUGUUGUCAGUUACUAACAGGUUCCGCUGAGGACUCUGACAAGACUGCCAUCGUAAGAUGUGAGGAAGGUGGGGAUGACGUCAAAUCAGCACGGCCCUUACGUCCGGGGCUACACACGUGUUACAAUGGGGGGUACAGAGGGCCGCUACCACGCGAGUGGAUGCCAAUCCCCAAAACCUCUCUCAGUUCGGACUGGAGUCUGCAACCCGACUCCACGAAGCUGGAUUCGCUAGUAAUCGCGCAUCAGCCACGGCGCGGUGAAUACGUUCCCGGGCCUUGUACACACCGCCCGUCAAGCCAUGGGAGCCGGGGGUACCUGAAGUGCGUAACCGCGAGGAGCGCCCUAGGGUAAAACUGGUGACUGGGGCUAAGUCAUA